CCUACGGGUGGCUGCAGUGAGGAAUAUUGGUCAAUGGGCGGGAGCCUGAACCAGCCAUGCCGCGUGAAGGCGAGUGCCCUACGGGCGUUAAACUUCUUUUGUGCGGGAGCAAUAAGGGCCACGUGUGGCCCGAUGAGAGUACCGCACGAAUAAGCAUCGGCUAACUCCGUGCCAGCAGCCGCGGUAAUACGGGGGAUGCGAGCGUUAUCCGGAUUUAUUGGGUUUAAAGGGUGCGUAGGCGGAGUGUCAAGUCAGCGGUAAAAUUUCGGGGCUCAACCCCGUCGUGCCGUUGAAACUGACGCCCUUGAGUGAGUGAGAAGUAAGCGGAAUGCGUGGUGUAGCGGUGAAAUGCAUAGAUAUCACGCAGAACGCCGAUUGCGAAGGCAGCUUACCGGUGCUCAACUGACGCUGAGGCACGAAAGUGCGGGUAUCGAACAGGAUUAGAUACCCGAGUAGUC
rnacentral:rRNA from 1 species